CUCAUUCAGGCAUUUCACCAAAUACAUCACAGGCAUGAAUAGACAAGCACAAAGAUACCAGAUUUACGUGGUUCGGCAGCAAGUGCCUACAUCCACGGGGAGGAGGAGCAAUCCACUAUGUCAAUCUUCCCAAUAGGGUACAAAUAAAGAUACAUAAAAGUCCAAAAUAUGGACUGCCAAAUGAUCACAAUAGGAGGCAAAAAUAAACCAAAUAUAAGGCAAAACAACCUGAACGGAUCAACCCUUCUGCAGCCACAAUGAUAGAUCAAAAGUGUAGUAUGCAAAUCAACCUUUCUAUGGCUCUAAUGGUAGAUCAAAUAAAUAUCAAAAACAUACCUUCCCUUGUUGCAUAUACUGUGAACAGCAAAGAAGAAAGAGGCUCACGGAAACAAGAAAGUCACAGGAAGAAGCCACAGUUGAAGAAGGGAAGAAGGUAGAAAGCCUCCAGCGAGUGGUAGACAAAGGGAAAGAAAAACCCAAGCCUGUUGUUGCAGGGAGACCGAGAGCGCACGGGAGGAUGAAGAGGAUGGUGUGUGGCGGCUGCUUCCUUUCACCCUAAAAAACAAAACAAAAC
rnacentral:lncRNA from 1 species